UACGUAGGGUCCGAGCGUUGUCCGGAAUUAUUGGGCGUAAAGGGUUCGUAGGCGGUUUGUCGCGUCGGGAGUGAAAACACGGGGCUUAACCCCGUGCCUGCUUCCGAUACGGGCAGACUAGAGGUAUGCAGGGGAGAACGGAAUUCCUGGUGUAGCGGUGAAAUGCGCAGAUAUCAGGAGGAACACCGGUGGCGAAGGCGGUUCUCUGGGCAUUACCUGACGCUGAGGAGCGAAAGUGUGGGGAGCGAACAGG
rnacentral:rRNA from 1 species